rnacentral:rRNA from 1 species
GUGGGGAAUUUUGGACAAUGGGCGCAAGCCUGAUCCAGCAAUGCCGCGUGCAGGAAGAAGGCCUUCGGGUUGUAAACUGCUUUUGUACGGAACGAAACGGUCCUGGUUAAUACCCGGGGCUAAUGACGGUACCGUAAGAAUAAGCACCGGCUAACUACGUGCCAGCAGCCGCGGUAAUACGUAGGGUGCAAGCGUUAAUCGGAAUUACUGGGCGUAAAGCGUGCGCAGGCGGUGCUGUAAGACAGGCGUGAAAUCCCCGGGCUUAACCUGGGAAUUGCGGUUGUGACUGCAGUGCUGGAGUGCGGCAGAGGGGGAUGGAAUUCCGCGUGUAGCAGUGAAAUGCGUAGAUAUGCGGAGGAACACCGAUGGCGAAGGCAAUCCCCUGGGCCUGCACUGACGCUCAUGCACGAAAGCGUGGGGAGCAAACAGGAUUAGAAACCCUUGUAGUCC